CACACUUAUUUUCUGAACUUGUCAUGAUCUUAUAACCCUUCACUUCACACUUUCUUGAGGGUGUACCUCCCUUCUAUUGUUUUCCAUAAGAAAGUUCCAUUAACUUGCUUUGGAUUCAUGGAAAUUCUGAACAGAGAUGUGAGAAUGACUACAAUUUGAGGUAUCUGUUAAAUACAGCAACAUGACAUCACAAGGAUUGUUUUUGAGUCUUCUGAAUGAGAGAUAAUAAAAUGGUGAAAUCUUAGGACUGGAAUAUCAAGGAAGAAAUAGAGACAACCAUGGUUUCCAGACUCUUUUAUUGGAGAAUAAUUCAUUUGUUGGUUUGUUUGACAGAAAUGGGAUUAUUUGAAGAGAUCAGCACAAGGAAUAAUGGUUUAUAACUUUUCUGAGAUCAGGACUGUAUGUGAAAACAGAGCCAUCCUGAAAACUAUGAAGAAAUAUUUCUUUCAUUCAAAGGAAAACAAAGUAGAAGGACUCAGGAAAGGAUAGAAAACUCAGUGGUGUUGAGGAGUAUGUAAAUACCUUAGGCCUUUAAGGAAAUUUUACUGAAAUCAACAUAACUAAGGAGACAGGAAGGAAGCCGAGACAAGACAGUGAAGAUUCUGAAGUAAAUGGGUACUUGCUUUGACCAAGAUCGAAACCCACCUCUCCCCAGAGAAUGUUAGAAGAGGGUAUGGAAGACAAGCAUUGGAAAAGUAGAA